GCUUGUCUCAAAGAUUAAGCCAUGCAUGUCUAAGUAUAAGCCUUUAUAUGGUGAGACUGCGAAUGGCUCAUUAAAUCAGAAACUGUUUAUUUGAUAGUGCCUACUACAUGGAUACCUGUAGUAAUUCUAGAGCUAAUACAUGCAUCAAUACCCAACUGUUCGCGGAAGGGUAGUAUUUAUUAGGUAUAGACCAACCCUCCUCGGAGGUGCUUUGGUGAUUCAUAAUAACUUUUCGAAUCGCAUGGCCUUGUGCCGGCGAUGGAUCAUUCAAGUUUCUGCCCUAUCAUGCUCUCGAUGGUAGUGUAUUGGACUACCAUGGCUCUCACGGGUAACGGGGAAUUAGGGUUCGAUUCCGGAGAAGGAGCCUGAGAAACGGCUACUACAUCUAAGGAAGGCAGCAGG
rnacentral:rRNA from 1 species